rnacentral:rRNA from 1 species
GCGUAACGCGUAUGCAACCUACCCUUAACUGGGACAUAACCUGGCGAAAGCCGGGCUAAUAUUCCAUGAGGUUUAACUGAGGCAUCUUAGUUAAAUCAAAGUCUGAGAAGAUGGUUAAGGAUGGGCAUGCGUUCCAUUAGCUAGUUGGUGGGGUAAAGGCUCACCAAGGCGACGAUGGGUAGGGGUUCUGAGAGGAAGGUCCCCCACACUGGUACUGAGACACGGACCAGACUCCUACGGGAGGCAGCAGUAAGGAAUAUUGGGCAAUGGUCGGAAGACUGACCCAGCCAUGCCGCGUGCAGGAAGAAGGCCUUAUAGGUUGUAAACUGCUUUAGCCAGGGGCUAAACCUACCGAUGCGUUGGUAGCUGAAGGUACCUGGAGAAUAAGCAUCGGCUAACUCCGUGCCAGCAGCCGCGGUAAUACGGAGGAUGCGAGCGUUAUCCGGAUUUACUGGGUUUAAAGGGUGCGCAGGCGGUUGUUUAAGUCAGGGGUGAAAUACCGGGGCUCAACCCUGGGACUGCCUUUGAUACUGAACAGCUAGAGUGAAGAUGGAGUGGGUGGAAUGUGUUGUGUAGCGGUGAAAUGCAUAGAUAUAACACAGAACACCGAUCGCGAAGGCAGCUCACUAAACUUCAACUGACGCUCAUGCACGAAAGCGUGGGGAUCAAACAGGAUUAGAUACCCUGGUAGUCCACGCUGUAAACGAUGAUCACUAGCUGUUGGGCUGGAAUAGCUCAGUGGCUAAGCGAAAGUGAUAAGUGAUCCACCU